rnacentral:rRNA from 1 species
ACGGAGGGGGCAAGCGUUGUUCGGAAUUAUUGGGCGUAAAGAGCUCGUAGGCGGUCUGUCGCGUCGGCUGGGAAAACCCGGGGCUCAACCCCGGGCCUGCAGUCGAUACGGGCAGACUAGAGUGCGGUAGGGGAGACUGGAAUUCCUGGUGUAGCGGUGAAAUGCGCAGAUAUCAGGAGGAACACCGGUGGCGAAGGCGGGUCUCUGGACAUUUCCUGACGCUGAGGCACGAAAGCCAGGGGAGCAAACGGG